UCACAGUGAAGUCGGCAGAUUUUUGGGGUGGGGGAGAUGGGUCGCACAGAAGGGUGGUUGGAGGUUGUCGUUAGGUUUGAUGUUUUGGUGGUGGAGAAGGGAGAAGAGAGAAGAGAGAAGAGAGAAGAGAGAAGAGAGAAGGAGAGAGGGGAGCGGAUGACUGUUGGAUGGAAAUGGUGAAGUGAAAGAGAAAAGAUUAGGCAAAAAAGCCGUGUCUGGGAUCGGCACACUACUAUUUCAACCAUGUAUAUUCACUUGUAUCUAUGAUAGUUAGAUUUCGCGGGGUUGCAUUGAUUUAAUUUUAUUCCUCAUGUAGGUACAUUAUAUUGUUGAACUAUUAAAUAUUUGCUGAGGUAGGUGCAUCUUUCCAUUUCUGUAGGCUUAGAGAGGUGACAAAAAAUAUCUGAGAAUGAAAUAAUCAGGUGUCAUUUAAAAAUUAAUACUUUAAACAAUGAUAGACGAAAAACUUUACACUGUGCAUCCUGAUAUGGUGAUGCAGCUGGAGUUGAAAACUUGGAUAUAUGGAUCUAAUUUGAAUAAACAUGGUUUGAAAUUUGUGAUGUUGAACCUAACUAGAUCCCCCUCUGCAGUUACGAUAUCAUAGAGCUAGAAAUAUUUGGCAUUUGAAGCCUAUAUUGCCGUAAUAACACUUACAUUUCCGUGCUUCCCUCCUUUAUGCUGUUGUGUAAUUUUUUUAAAUGUUAAUCAUGCGGGAUGAAGAUUGCUACGAAAUUCAUACACAGGCAAAGCUAAGAAAAGAAUUUCUGAGAAUUGGAGAGACAGAAUACUCAGCUUUGUUUCGACAUGAAAGAUAGUACACAUAGGAGAAUAUAGAAGAAAUAUCAAAUCAUUUAACUGACUUACUUUAGGUGCUUAGCUGUACAGGCCCUGACAUCUAACCAACUAAUUUGAACAACUACACUAAUAGUUUACUACAGAUAAUUAAUUGACUUAACUAAUGUUAACACCCCCUCAAGUUGGAGGUGUUCAAAGCCCAGCCAACUUGCCAAGAGCGGCAGAGUCUUGACCCAGUUAAGGCUUUGGUUAAGACAUUUGUCAGUCACAAAUAUAAUCAAGUAAAGCUCUUUCUGGAAAGCGCCAAAAUAUAGUACAGUAAUCAUCUGCGCCGCUACAAAUGGUUAAUAUUAAUUUGCUAGCUUGCCGUUAUGUAAUCUCCACAGGUUUUUUCGCUUGCAGUUACCUUGAAAUGCUUCUGUGACAUAAGUUAAUUAUCUGAUAAAAUUCAUGUUAUUUUGCAGUAUGCCUGCGCAUGAAAGAUCACUUCUACAGUUUUUUCUUCACAGAAAAAGAGUCAGCAAUACUCAACAGAUAAAGCCUGCGCUAUCAAAAAAUGAUGGCACGACCUAUACAGACAACUCUCACCCGAUAAAAAAGAGGCUCUUCUGCUGCAACAGUGAAUAAGACACCAACAAUCCAACAAUCAAAACUUUCUGAUUCAUUCUCCUGUUCCACUACCUAAUGCUGGACCUCGAUUAACUUAAGAACGAGGUAUUACCAUUAAUGAGAUACCGCCUCCUG
rnacentral:lncRNA from 1 species